rnacentral:rRNA from 1 species
UACGUAGGGUGCGAGCGUUAAUCGGAAUUACUGGGCGUAAAGCGUGCGCAGGCGGUUUUGUAAGCCAGAUGUGAAAUCCCCGGGCUUAACCUGGGAAUGGCAUUUGGGACUGCAAGGCUGGAGUUUGGCAGAGGAGACUGGAAUUCCUGGUGUAGCAGUGAAAUGCGUAGAUAUCAGGAGGAAUACCGAUGGCGAAGGCAGGUCUCUGGGACUAUAACUGGACGCUC